GUUGUUUAAUGAAAAUAUUUCUUAUUGACUAAAAGUUUAUCGAAGUUUUUUGAAGAGGUUAUUUCUUUACACGGUACGAGUGAAAGUAUGAAGAAGUUUGUGAGAAAAAAAAAAAAAACUUUUGAAGGCUUGUGUAAAAUCUUUAGUUGCUUGAUUUUGAAUGAAACUACUAGCAAUCAGGAGUAAUAUAGAAUACUUGGGGAUUUUUUUUUUUGACAGGCCAAGAGCAAAAUGACAUCAAAAAGAAUAGUGUCCAAUUAAGUUGGUACCCUACUUUAAUCUUUUGCCAAUUGCCCAUAUAUAUUAUUAAAAAAAAAAGGAAAAAAUUACAUAAAAACUGGGGGACGUAAAACUUGACCCAGUCAACAACCCUAAUGGACAAAACAUUAAAAAAAAACCCACAAAGUGGAUUCAACCCUAGACAAUUCUCACAGACAAUUAUAGCCAAUUGGGUCUAAAGUUUGGCGAAUGAAC
rnacentral:lncRNA from 1 species